UCCUACGGGGGGCAGCAGUGGGGAAUUUUGCGCAAUGGGCUAACGCCUGACGCAGCAACGCCGCGUGGAGGAUGAAGGUCUUUGGAUUGUAAACUCCUGUCAGCAGGGAAAAAGCAACCUGACCUCAUACGUCAGGGAGUUGAUUGUACCUGCAGAGGAAGCCCCGGCUAACUCUGUGCCAGCAGCCGCGGUAAUACAGAGGGGGCAAGCGUUAUUCGGAAUUAUUGGGCGUAAAGGGCGCGUAGGCGGCCUGGCAAGUGGAAGGUGAAAUCCCUCGGCUUAACCGAGGAACUGCCUUCCAGACUGCUUGGCUUGAGACCGGGAGAGGUGAGUGGAAUUCCCAGUGUAGCGGUGAAAUGCGUAGAUAUUGGGAGGAACACCAGUGGCGAAGGCGGCUCACUGGACCGGUACUGACGCUGAGGCGCGAAAGCGUGGGGAGCAAACGGGAUUAGAUACCCUGGUAGC
rnacentral:rRNA from 1 species